rnacentral:lncRNA from 1 species
UUAAUGGUUAGUGUUAAUAGUUAGUGUGGCAUAAGGCAAAUUUAGCGCUAUGUUAAGCAAUCGUAAUUGGACUUAUGUAGAAGUCACAACUAUCUUAGGCCGGUCAAUAAUAAUGUAGGCAACAACACAAGUUAGAGGUCUUGAUUAGUGAAUCAAACUCCAACAACUUGCCAUGCCAAAAAGAAGAUGAGAAAUGAUCUUGUAUUGAUUUAGGUUCUUUGCAUGAUU